rnacentral:sRNA from 1 species
GCUGGGCGUGGUGGCGCACACCUGUAAUCCCAGCGGCUCGGGAGGCUGAGGCAGGAGAAUCGCGAGUUCAAAGCCAGCCUCAGCAAAAAGCGAGGCACUAAACAACUCAGUGAGACCCUGUCUCUA